GUGUUUUAAGGUUAGGAAAUAUUUUCAAAUGAUUUAUAUUCUUAGUUUUGUUAAAUGAAUAUUGAUAGUGAAUGAUCCAGUUAGUUCUAUAUACGUUAUUGGACACAUUACUUCAUAGACUAUAAUAUAACAAAGCCGUUAAUAUGAAAGUUUUGUAACGGAAUAGCGUUAUAAAUAGAAACUUUUGUUGAUUACAGACAUUAAGUAGGGCUGUAUUAAAAAUGUGUGGUAGCAAUAUUACUUAAACUCAAUGCGAGAAGAUCCAGUACCGUGGCCUCGGUCCUGCGUUGGCUUGGCGUCCUCUCUGUGACACUAACAUUUAACACUACUCCACGUGUGUUGCAAAACACGCAAAGUAUGAAUGUUUUGUAUGAAUGAAAGUGUGAGAGUGUGCGUGCGUGUAGAACUACAUUUAACUAGAACAAGUAAUCCUCCACUUCACAACACAUUAAGGGUGAUGCGGCCAGUGCGGCAGGAGGUCGCCCCACUUACACUAAUACACACA